rnacentral:rRNA from 1 species
UACGUAGGUGGCGAGCGUUGUCCGGAAUUACUGGGUGUAAAGGGCGUGUAGGCGGGGGUGCAAGUCAGAUGUGAAAUACCAUGGCUCAACUGUGGGGAUGCAGCUGAAACUGUGUUUCUUGAGUGCUGGAGAGGAAAGCGGAAUUCCUAGUGUAGCGGUGAAAUGCGUAGAUAUUAGGAGGAACACCAGUGGCGAAGGCGGCUUUCUGGACAGUAACUGACGCUGAGGCGCGAAAGCGUGGGGAGCAAACAGG